GUGCACUGAAUUUGAACCUGUGAGGCCCCUUCAAUGGCAUUUCAGGCCAAGCUUCAGUGCUAUAGCAACUCCAGGCUUGCUUAUAACUGGGGCCUCCAGGCUACUUCUCCUGGUCGCUCUUUUAAAAGCAACUCACACGU